GCUCUUUGGGUGGUAUAUAAGGAGUUGGACCUGCCCGGUGAUUAGUCAAAUUUUUUAAUUAUUGAGUUAAUAGGGAAUUUUUUUAAACGGCUGCAAUUAAUAGUUGUGCUAAGGUAGCGUAAUCAUUUGCCCCCUAAUUAGGGGAAGGUAUGAAUGGUUUGACGUGGGAGAAACUGUCUCUUUUGCAUGCAAAGAAGUUUAUUUUUGAGUGAAAAAGCUUGGAUGAUUUUAAAAGACGAGAAGACCCUAUCGAGCUUGAAUUGGGUGUCUUAGUUUUGAGAUUUCUAAAGUUUAGUUGGGGAAACUUAAAGUAAAAAAAAACGCUUUAUUUUUUUAGGGCGAUCCUGUAGUAUGGAAGAACGAAAAAGUUACCGUAGGGAUAACAGCGCUUUCUUCUCUGAGAGGACUAAUUAAAGAGUUGGUUGCGACCUCGAUGUUGGAUUAAAAUUUCUUUUUGGGGUAGGGGUUAAAAUAGUAAGACUGUUCGUCUUUUAAAAUUUUACAUGAUCUGAGUUCAGACCCGGCGUA
rnacentral:rRNA from 1 species